rnacentral:rRNA from 1 species
AUACGGAGGGUGCAAGCGUUACUCGGAAUCACUGGGCGUAAAGCGCGCGCAGGCGGUCUUUUAAGUUGGAUGUGAAAGCCUACGGCUCAACCGUAGAACUGCAUCCAAAACUAUUAGACUAGAGUGUGGGAGAGGAAGAUGGAAUUAGUUGUGUAGGGGUAAAAUCCGUAGAGAUAGCUAGGAAUACCAAAAGCGAAGGCAAUCUUCUGGAACAUUACUGACGCUCAGGCGCGAAAGCGUGGGGAGCAAACAGGAUUAGAAACCCCGGUAGUCC